UCACCUGUGGCCGCCUGGAGAACAAGCUCGAGCCCAUCAUCUUCGACCACGCUGAUGGGUCGGCAGCUCGCGGCAAUCCACUGAGCAAGGAGAUUAGUGAGCUUACUUGAUAGAGCUGCACUGAUGGGCUUGCCUCGGUUGCACUCAAACAUAGUAGUUUGACGAAAACUCUUCCCCUGCGCAACACUUGGCCCAGCAUCUUCCAACUUAGCUAAGGGAUGCUUUGCGUUUAGGUGGUACUUGAGACAGGAAGAACUUCUACAGUAAACAAAUUCCGCAUUGCACAAGGUGCAAACAACUUUAUUCUUGUCAAGGUUUCCAUUGGGAAGCUUCUUAAAAAUAAAUUUUCCCUGGAGCAAACCCAGCAGCUUCAUAGGUGCAUCCAUGUCGGCACGUCACGUUUGAAGAUUCCUCUGGCAUUAAAGAUGUUCUCUUUCGCGCAUAUACAUCCGCGCCUUAUAUGUCGAUGAUCCGCGCCAACCAGGUAUCCAUCCGCGCAAUGUGAAGAAUAGAUUAACGGCGUCUUUUUUUAUCACGCGAUAAGAGUCUAGCUUUGCCGCAGCACGUUAACGCCGAUAACGGCCCACCCUAAUAAUAUAUAUCCAUCCAUCCAUUUUCUUCCGCUUAUCCGUAGUCGGGUUGCAGGGACAGCAGCCUAAGUCAAGAGGCCCAGACUUCCCUCUCCCCAGCCACUUGAGCCAGCACUUGUGGGGGAAUCCCAAGGCGUUCCCUGGUCAGGUGAGAAACAUAAGGCGUGUUUCAUCUACAAGAACUUCUGGGUAGAUUUACAGGAACCUCCCCACAUGCGCGUGUCUCCACCUGAGCGGGCCGUCCGAACGGCCGUUUUCAGGAAUCUUCUGAGUACCUGCUCUGGAGUAGGUACUCCGAACGGCCCGGUGGAGUAGCUGAGCGGAACCUUUGGUUAACUCACGCUGAUUGGUUGUAACUUAGUAGGAAAUUACAUCAGCAGCUGUCCAAAACAACCGGCAGCAGUAAAAUUUGAAGAGUAGCUGGUGAAGCAGAAUGAAAGCCAAAACAAAAACAAAAAAAGCACAGAUCGCACUUAAAAUUUAACUCCUGACACCGGAAAUCUCGGUGGAAUGUCCCCACAGCUGUUGGGGAAAAUGGGGAAGCGGGUCUACUCUGAGCCCCUCCCAGAUGACCGAGUUUUUCACCCUAACAAUAUAUAUAUUGUGAUAUGUUCUUUUCAAACUCCCAUACCAGAUGAAUUACAGCAGAACAGCUAAUUCUGAAAAGUAUAGCAUGCCAUUUAAAUAAGAACAGGUCUUCUAAAUUACAAAAAAGAAACACAAAUAUGUUCGGGAAACCACAGAAUCUCUUCUCCUCUAGCAUAUCUGCUACUUACCACAUGGUCAGAUUUAUGGUGGUUUUUUCCUCCUGAAGGAAUGAUUUUAAGCUUGCUAAACUUCCAGCCAGGGAGGAGCCUAAAUUCAUAAGGUGAUGACGAGCAGGUUUGUGGAGUAAGGGCUCCCACUUAUGACGUGACUAGGAAGGCUUGCUCAGAAAAGGAAAUGUUCUCUCCCCUUUUUACACUUUCUAAUUUGCAAAUAGAGUAGAUCACACAUGGCUUUGGCAUUUAGGUGUGCUACUUUUGAUCACCCAAACUGUCUUUAUUCAACAGCAACAAGGAAAAUGUUGGUUUAGAGUCUUUAUCUCCUUUAAUGUUCAAAACUUGUUUAGAUAAAUACAUAAUGUCUCAAAUAGUUUUUAAAUUUGCGCAACAAGACAAUUCUCUUAUGAAUAAAUCUAAAAUACAACUAAAUGAGGUGAAAACGCUAAAUUCUAAAUUGUUUGGGUUUUUAAGUAAAAAAAAAAAUAAAAACUGAAAUAAUAUUGAUACACUUUUCCAAACCGAUUAUUGAAGCCCUUAACGCAGAGAAUGAGCUGAUCAGAAAGGCCAGGUCCCUGAUCGUCGUCUCCUGACGCGCUGGGGCGUCCCGAUUCAUCAUAUAUUUGAGGCGUGGUCACUAUAGACUGUACAUACUGGACAAACGGAUUCCAUUGGCUUCAAUAACACGUUUGUUGUCUAUAAUGGGAGGUGGCCACCACCGCCAUUUUGACCGUGUCACAGGUUCCGUCCAGCCCAGACAAUUCCAUAAAAGGGAAGAGAGGAGGCGCUGAGGGUGUGGCUGUAAGGCUGGGCUCGAGUGACGACACCCAGGCGAACUAGCUACGAGCUAACCUGAAGCUAACCCUGGCUAACCCAAAGCUAAAGCGGAGGUGGGAGCCGAGCUAACGGAUGUAGCCACCUAGCUUCAACCCAACCGGAGCUAACUGGAACACCCAUCGACCUGAACCUCACACGGAGUUUAGGUGGAGGUUUUCUGCGCCUGUUCGUGAGAAGUACCUGUAUUAAAAAAGUUUUAAAUUGGUAAGUUUAUAAUUUAUUUCCGUAAUGAAUACAUUUUGCUUUGAGCAAGUUUUCAGUACAGUUUUUUUCGGCGCUAUCACUCCUGAGUCGCACCAGCCAUUAAAUGUAUAAUGAAGAAGAGAAAAUAUAUUUAAGUCGUAUUUUGGGGGGACAUUUUAUUAUCUUUCUUACAAAAUCCGAGACCAAGCGUUUCACAUUGCAACACAAGCACCGGUAACCAUAACAGAAUGAACAGCCAGCAGAGGAGAGGAUGGCGGUGUUUCAAACCCUCCCGGCCGGCGUGUAGAGCUCAUUCCUGGGCUGGAGCCGGCCCUCAGCACCCCGCCACAGGCUCUAACAGAUGCUGGCGGUGUUUCAUAUAUUUCCAAAACGUAAUACUUGUUUGUAUCUUGUACAGCCAACUAGCCUUUAUUCUGGACUCAGUACAAUUUACCAAAAGUAAAGAGACAUUAUACAGAUGAAGUAAGCACAAGAUAACUUACUGGAAGACACAGAGUUAUCAUCAGAACCAGAACAAGAGAGCCUGAUAACAGUCAUGUGAAAAUAAGUUAAAAAGUAUGUAUGUAUAAUAGUAAUAAAAAUAUAUUAGAAUUAGUGUAACUCACUGUGAUCCAAACAAAUCAGCCAUAGCUGAUUAGUAAAUAUGACAUGAGGUCUGGGAGUUUUUAAGUUUCAUUCUUUUAUUACAUUUUUUUCUUAGAUCUAUUAAAAGGUCACCAUGGCAGCCUGUGUGUCAACGUCAGCUACACAAAGCAGCAAGUCCAUUUGGAUCAUUGGAGACAGCUGAGUGAGGCGUGGUGCCCAGAGAGCUGCAGAGACAACCUUGGCCUCCCUGACGUCUGUGUCUCUUGGUUUGGUUGGGGCGGACCAUCGACAUACAUACAUGUGCCGACACUUUGCGCCCUGUUUUAUAAACUGUAGUGUUAAAAAUAAAUGUUUUUGCUCAA